CGUUAAGUUUGAUACCACACUUGAACAGAUACAUCAGCCUCAAGGAGCACACAGCGACUCUUGAUCAGGAGAAAGAGACUCGUUUUCAAAAUCUAUUGCAGGAUGGUUGCUUCUACUUGUCAACCAAACAACAUUUGGCGUCUCUCCUUCAGCGCACGUCAUACCUAGUCUCAUACCAGCAUUGCUAUGAAACAAAAGAGUUGGGAAUUUCACAGCAGUCAGAGUCUAUAACCAAAAAGGCGAAAGAGUCAUGCUACUUCUGUUUCUAAUAAAGGGGAGGAAAAAGAUUUAACGAGCUGUGCUAACUACUUGACGUUUCAAACAUAACCUCAAAUAGUGUAGCAAACGAUCUUAAAUCAAAAGUGGCAAAUUGUUUGUUUACAAGUUCAGGCGUGUCACCACCGAGUAAAUGUCAUUUCUUGAAUCAAAGGAACGGGAAUCUUGUGCCCUGACCAGGUCGUCUCAGUGUUACGGAAAUGAUUCAAGAAAAAGACAUCAACACGCAAGUUGCAUAAUCCUACUCCCAUGACUUCCUUUUAAGUCCACACUAGAUUUUGAUCCGCACGCCCGUGCGGAUUUUAAAAUAACUUUAUAUAAAUAAUUAUACAUUUAACAUUAAUUUUAUUAGAUUAGAAAUAGAAAACUGAUUGUUGUUUGGUUUUUUAUUAUAUACUAUUUUAAAGAGUCUCACAUAUUUUUUGUGUUUAUAUAUUUUUCAGCAUUGAUAAAAUGAUCAACAUUACAACUACUAUAUAAGUAUUUGAAGUUUUUUGAACCUAAUUAAUAUUUGAAGCUUUUUAAAAUUAAUAAAUAUUUAAAGUUCCCUUUGUUUUUGUGUUAAUUAGAUAGAUUAUUUUAUACACUUAUCAUUUUUAUUAAAUAUUAAAUAAGUUAUUAUAUAUAGUAUAAAUAUACUACUUAUUCUGGGACACGAAAAAAAUUAUACAUGUUUUAAUAUUAUAAAAUGUUAAAAAUAAUUUUAUAUUGAUUUGAUAUUAUGAAAAUGUAUUUAUAAUGGGGGAAUUAUGAUUAACACAAUAAGUAAAAAAUAAUUUGAAAGUUUUAGUUUUUAUGUCAAUUUUAAAUUAUUUAUGUACACUAAAUAUUGAUUUUGAAAUCUAUCAUUUUUUAUUUUAUGCGUGGACUAUUAUUUAUUAUAAAGAUCAAUAACCUUUCCAAUAAUAUGCGUGACAACUAACAAAACACACACACACAUAUAUAUAUAUAUAUAUAUAUAUAUAUAUAUAUAUAUCUUGUUAUAAAGAGUUACUAAGACAUUAAUUAAUCAUAGUCUAUUUGUAACAAUUUACUUUGGAGGCAAGAUUAAAGAAGGGAAAUAACUUUUUUCAAAAUAAAAAGAAAGGGAAUAACUACAGGAAGGAAUAAAAUGAACCACAUCGGUUGUUUAUAAUAUAAGUUGUUAGUAUAUAUUAUUAAUUGUUUAAGGAAAGUUUAUAUAUUGUCACAAAUAUUAGAUUAUAGUUGAGAAUCUUGAAAUAUAUGAAGGAUAAUAAGUAGUAUCCCAUGAUUUUAGGAAAAUAAUAUUAAAGCUAGUAUAUGUUAGCGAGAUAUAAGGUUGUAUCAGGUCAUUAAUGAUUUAGCUCAAUUAAUUUUUAUAUUUAUAGUAAUAUAACAGUGGCAAUUCCUUGUAAUUAUUUAAGAAAAAUCAGGGUUAAAGACUAAAUGUACUUCAGUUUUAAUAGUUUAGAUAUUUUAGUCUUGAAUUUUGUCAAUUUUGUUAAAAUAAAAAUUAUUAAGUCUGUCAAAACAAGGUUUCUUAAGAAUUUUUUAAUAUAACUAGAGUGAUCUUGAAAACUUAUGUGUAAAAUAUCUGAAACAAAUAGAAUAUUAUCCUGUCUUUAAGAAUAGUAAUAUGUUUUGUUUGAUUUAUCACUUUUGAUCACUAAGAUUCUCUUGAUAAUGUUUCUUCCCCAAAAUUUUUAAAGUUUUUCAAAGUUUUUAUAUAAUUAGAGUGAUUAUGUAAACUUAUGUGUAAAUUUGUGACAACACAUAAAAUUAAAAAUACAAGUCAAGCUUUUAUAAAGUUUCCUUUUGUUUGAUUUGUUUUGUGUCCAACAUUUUUUAAAAUAAAAAAAUACAAUGUUUCUUUCCCAAAUUUUUCUAAGUUUUCAAAGUUUUUAAGAAAUUUUUAUGUGUUAAAAAAAAAGAAAAUUUUAUAUAAGUGAUUAUGAAAACUUAUGUGUAGAUUUUUGACAACACAUAAAAUACAUUAUCAUGUCAUCAUGAUCGAUAGGUGAUAUGUUUUGUUUGCUUUAACACUUGAUAGUCACAAGUUUUUCUUAAACAAUCUAACUAUUAUAAAAAUUCUUAUUGUUGUUGUUUAUUUUUUUUAAUUCAAAACUGCAUCGGUUUUUUGUUUUGAUUAUUUUUUGUCAACAAAUAAAAACGUUUAUCUCAACAAUUACACUUUACAAGAUUUGGACCCUAGCUUCUUGUUACUUUAGGUUCCAAACAUCGUAUAGUCCAUCUAACAUAGACAUUAUGUAUAUGAAAAGUUGUGAUAAUCUUUGUUUUUUUCUUUAAACAGCAUGGUAUAUUGUAAGUAUAUUGUCAAAAAAAAAACAGUUGUUCAAAAAUUAUGUGAUGGCAAUUUUAGUCAA